GCAUUCUUUGAGUGUUCCUUGGAUUAGAUAUAGAUGUUUUUUAACUAAAGUUGCUGAACUUGUUGGCUGCAGGAUAAGUUCAACAACGACGAAGCAAGCUAGUCCAAUGAAGGCCUCGGUGUGAUCGUGUCAGAGUCACUCGUGCACAUUCUGAAACAAGAUAAGAAGAAAAGUGCUGCUUGAUCUUGUUUUGUUGAUAAAGUUCAGCGACCGUAUUUAGCUUACCUCCAAGAAUUUGAUAGUAUCAAGAAGCUUAGUUCCUGUAUCAGUAAAGGGCUUUGUUUGAUAAAUUAGCUCCAUGGUUAUUUGAUCAUCUUGAGUAUGAAUGGCUUUCAAAUAUAAAUUUAUUCUUCCUGUUGCACUUUCUGCAUAUAUUUGGUAUAAUUUUUUCACCUGUCAUAAUAAAUCAAUAUUUACUAUAUUAUAUGUAUAUAUAAACAUUAGCAAUUAAUAUAAAUGAUUUUUUUGGCAAUUUUUUUUAUGGUCUAAAUGAAUGGAAUUUAUGUAAAUUUCUUCUUACACUUUAGAUUGUUGAGGAGUUAUAUGAUGUGAAAAUCUUUACACGUUUUUCAUGAUACUGAUAUGACAUGAUGAUGUUAUUAUAAAAACAAUUAUCGAAAACAUUAAAUGAAGUAGUGCAAUAACUAUAUAUAUGUAUAAAACCCCACAUAUAUUUACUCAAAAAUGUGCAUCUCUUUCUCAUUCCCCAUGUUUAUAAUUUUUAAUCAAACAUGAUAUUAAUAUUUGUGAAGUUUAUAUUAUGGACCAUAAAAGAGUACCAUACCAAUUAAAUUAAAUAAUAUAGUCAAUCAAAUUGUCAUAAGAACAAGGGCAUUUCUAUCUAUCACACACACAAAAAAAGAAAGUGCAAUGGGCAUAUGUCAAGUUGAACAUAAAAAUAACUAAUUUUGUUCGGAUAUUAAAUGAGCAGGUUGGACUGAAUUUGAAAAUAUUAAAAUGAAUUUAGUUAAUAAAUUGACGGUUUACUGACCCCCUCGAGUGUUACUUAGUCUAACAUGGUUUGAGUUGAAAUGGCGAAAUGUAAAUAUUAAAAUUUUGUUUGUUCUUUGAAUAUCUAAUACAAAAUUUCUUUUUAUAUUAUGAUUGUAUAUAACAUAUCAGAUUUAAAAAAAAUGUAUUUUUAAAAAUAUCCAGAUAGAAGUUUUCCAUGGAUCAACUUGGAUUGUAUAUUAGUCCAAUUUUAAAAUAAGAUGAAUUAAACAGGUUAAAAAUAAAUUGAGUUAGUAAAAUAAACAAGUUAAAAACCGUUCAAACCUAAAUGGAUUGGACAGAUCAUGGUUUUAUGAGCUGAUUUUAUCAUAUCUGAUUUCACGUAAUACUUUUUCUCUCUCUCCCUCUCUCUUCUAUUGCACUAUAGUUGAGUAAUUCUUCAAAGAACUUAAAGUUCGAGAUUAAGAUAUAUACAUCAAUCAUAGAAACAAUAUUACUCAAUGAAGUCAUGACUUAUAAAAUAACGUCACCAUUAUACGAUCAGUUGUUCAAUUUCAAAGUUAAAACUAAAAUAAUUGAUGUAAUUAUUUAUUAAAAAAGAACAUUGAUUUAUAAAUAUUUACACCCUAAAAUGGACCUUGCCUAGAAGAUCCAAAUUAACCUAUAAACUUCAUUGUUGUAGUUUCAUGUCCGACCAGACUAAAGACAUCAACUUUCAUUUUCAACUUGUAAAUUUUAUAAAGAAAAAAAAAUAAAUAAUAUUAUAACAGAUAAAUUUAUACCAACUUUCAGCAAAUUAAUAUAAUAUACUUAAAUGAACGGUUAAAACAUAGUGCUUAUAUAUAUUUGACUUUUCAACACCUUGAAAACCUUUGGUUACAUCGAAAGUAUAAAAAAAUUUUAGUGGCAAAUGAUUUUUUUCUAACAUAAUAUCAUUAUAUUCAGAAUCGCGUAAGAUUGUAAAUGUUAAUAUUUAUUAUUAUUAUAAUAUAAUAUAACGAUAAUUAUAUAAUAAUAAACACUACUGAAAUAAGAGAAAUUAAUAACAGACAAGUUUUGUAGAUAAAUAACAAAAUGUACCAGUAAUCCUAUUUAACAACGAAUAUUAGUAAAAGAUUAUGAGAAUAUAAUUUAACGAUAGAUUAGCGAUGAAGUUGAUAUAUAUACAUACCUCAUGAUAUGCAAGCCAAGGAUAAGGUAGCAACAAAGCUAUGAUAGAAGCCACAACUCCAAGUGCAGUGCUAAAAGCAAUUCUAAAAGGGUGCAUCAUAGGAGAAUUGACAUAAAGUCCAUGAAUAACAGCAUCAACAUAGACUAUAACAAGUUGUCCAAAGGCAAUUCUCUUGCACAUUAAGUCGGUACUCUCCGGCAACGCCACCAAAAACGCGCUCACCGCCACCAUGAGGGCGGCUACCUCGGGCGAGUAGUCAUCGGUGGCGACAUAAUUGUGGAUCCAUAGGCCUAGCAUGGAAAGUGGCAUGGUUUGAAGUGUGGCAAGACAUGCAUGCCAACAUCCCCUUAGGGCAUGGCCUAACGUGGCGUCGGAUACUAUGAAUAUCGACGUCACGUAGGAAAAAGAAGGAAAUGCUAGUUGCUUCGAAAGAGAAGGUGGACUAUAGAGGGUGACACACCCUACUAUAAUGCAUGCUAAGGCGGUUCGAAUAGCUGAGUGUAGCCUCAUCCACCACAUGGCGCGAGCUCGUUUUGCCACCAUGGUGGUUGGCAUGAUGAGGCAACAACUAAUAAUCUACAAGAUUCACUUUCUACUGACAAGACAACCACUCUCUACCCCUAUUGCCACUAGACUAUGAACUCACCUGCCAGUAACAAGACGACUACUUCAUGCAUACCACCAAAAUAAGCUAGCUAGCUAAAGAUUCAUCUACCAAUUAUAACAAGACUGACUAGUUAGAAAAUUCACCUGUCAACAACAACACGACUAGUACUCGAGAUCACAAAAUGGCUAACCAGAAGAUUCACCUGCCGCAACAAGACGACUAGUACUCUCACCACAUCACAAAAUGGCUAACCAGAAGAUUCAUCCACCAGCAACAAGACGACUAAUACAACACAUCACUAGUAAAAUGGUUAACUAGAAGAUUCACCUAUCAGCAACAAGACAACUACUCUCAGCACCACACAAAAUGGCUAUAUGUCAUUCAACAUGGUAGUAACAAGAUGACUACUUUCAUCAACACACCACUAAAUGACUAUGUAUAGACUUUCACCUGCUAACAACAAGACGACUACUUUUUAGAAAUGCUAAACAACUAUAUGGAGAUACUAUUCCAAUUUCAACAGGUUGUUGACAAAUUAGUAGAGAAGUGGUCCUCUCUAGGCCUUGAGUAGGAGAAGUAUUUAUAGUAUUGCUAGUGUGUCACACUUUGAACAAUCCAACUUUUUACAUCAGUCAAAGAGUAUGUAAAGUCGGUGUACAUUUCACCCUUUCUAGAUUUCAUUUGUGGGACUAUACUGAAUAUAUUAUUAUUGUUAUACUUAUAACAAGUAGUGUUUUGAUUAUCAAAUUCCAAACCAUUGAUUAAAUUAUUAUGUCAAUCAGAAAUAAUUAUGUAGACCCUCAAACAGAACUUGUGAGGCUAUGAUGUAUACCCUUUCAAUGAGGCAACCUUUAAACUUUGUGAGCCUCUCUUAUUUUACAUUUACACAAUAAACAUAUUGUUUUAUAAUUACUACAUGCUUCAAAAACUUCGGAAACAAGAGUCUAUCAGACCAGUUCGCCAAUAAACAAAGCCAUUUCUACUAAAAAAGAUAUAAUCUUGAAGUCUCUAUUAUUACAUCAAUGAAAAUGAUGUAUUUUCUUGCUUUACUAUACUUUUUUUUUUCUUCCCAUCUCUGGCAUUGCACUUUUAAUUUUGAUAAAAUCCAAAGAAAAUGACCAAACACACUAGACAUUUUUGGCCAUUUAUGAGGCACAACAAAUUAAAGGGUAAAAUAAAAUUAGAGGUUUCUUCCAAGAGUAUUGGAGCUAGGAUUAAUGUUAAUUAACAAAUCAUCAAAUAAUUUAAAAUAUUCAUAAGAGUGAGAAUAUGUGAAAAUGACAUUUUAUUUUAAUUUGAAAAGAAAAAGUCAUUUUCCAAUUAUAUUAUAUUUUGAUGUAUACAUUCGAAUACACUCUUUUUCUUUUAGGAUUUGUAAUAAUUUGAUAGUAGUAUUGUAUUCAUUGAUUCAAGAGAAAACGUUUUAAUUUGAUACUAAAUUUCACAAAUUCAUUAAAUUUGUUUAAUUUGUAGCUCUUCCUUUUGGCAAUCAAAUAAAUAAUUAUGUGAUACGACAAGUAAUCACCAUUAGUACAACUAAGCUUUAAUAAUUAAAUUCUAUCAAAAUUAAAUAAAAUGAAGCAGGCCAACCAAUUAAUUCUUCCCUCCUAUAAGAGACAAAUUCAAAAUUUGAACUUUACGAACUUGUAUCUUUGGUAUUAUAAUCCCAAAUAUCAGUUAUUAAAUUUUAAAUUUAUUUUUUUGUGUAUAUUAUCUGAUAUCUUUGACACAAAAUAUACAACGUUUAAACCAAAAUUAACAUUGAAUCUUAUUGGAUCUGUAUGUUCGAGUCUUCAUUCAUCUCUUGCAUGCUAAAAAAGUGUCAAAAUUUAAAAAUAAAAUUAAUACUAUUAUUUUUAUAUUAUAGCACCUAUAAUCCACACACAAAUGUUAAUUUUUGAGGCAAAAUAUAAUGUUAAGAGUUCACAAUGGAAUUAUUUUAAUUGGAAUUAAUUCCCCUUUUUGCAAGGCAUAUUAUAGUAGAAUGGACAUUAAUGUCGAUAUAUUCAAGUUGUGUGUCAUUAUUGUUCAAUUAUUCUCUCAUAUGCACCAUGAUUUGGUAUAUGGCAUCUACACAUCCACAUACUUUUUUAAUUAUUUAUAAUUAGUAAUCUGAUAAAAUAACAAAAAAUUAUUAUCAAUGGUUACUCCAUUGAUACUAUAACAAUGUAUAUGUAUUACAGCACGAUCAAAUUCAGAUUCACACAAUCCAAAAAUCGCAACUAUAUUCUAUUUAAUUUGGUUAAGUGAGACUCUGACCAAAAAAAAAACAAAACAAUAAUACACAUAUUUGAACAAAGUGCCUCGAGACGAUGCCAAGAUUUAAAUUUUAAUAAAAUUUUAAUAAAAUGUACAUAUUCAGGGAUAAUAAAAUGUACAUAUCGAAUAGAUAUAAAAUUUAAACCGAAAUUAAUGCAUUCAACUGAAUCUGUAACUGAUAUUCUAACUUCAUCACUUGUAAGUAUCUAGAGCCUAUUGUCCCGUCUAAUCCAAACUUGUGUCAUGAAGUAGUCAGUGGCAGACGCAGGAUUUUUGUGAAGGGUGUCAGGUUAUAGUAAAAAAAAAUACAAUUUUGUUUACCCAAUGAUGUCAAGGGGAUUUAUUAAACUAAAAUUUGACCUCUAUAUACAACGUAACUUUUCGACCCUAAUGGUACGUUCGCCCCUAAGUUUCACCAAUGAGGGUAAAACACUUUCUACAAAGAAGUUCUUAAUUCUCACGACUCAAACUUGAGAUUUCACCAGAGAUGAAAGAAAUCUAACUAUUGAGCUUAGAAAGGUAUUUUUGCAAACCAAAUUCAGUACAUACUAUUUUGUUUUCUCUUUCAUUCUUCUGAAUGUUAUGUAUUACUCUUAAUUUUUACAUUCUUUUCAUUGUUAUUGUUCUUAUAUCUGCAUUCCUUUGUUUCAAACGCCUUAGAUAUGCUUUAUUUUAAGCUAGUGAUCUAUCGAAAACAACUUCUCUAUCUCUGUAUUAUAGAAAUAAAGUUCACAUACGCUAUCUUUUUCCGUCUCUAGCUACUUGUCAAACAGGCAGUGUUAGAAGUUAGUACAGGUGACUAGCCCCAAUUAUUAAAUGUAGGACAUUUUCAUUGAACUUUCCUACUCAAUUGUAUUUCCCUCUUUGCUAGGGUAUGUAAAUUAAGCCACAUAAUCUUAUUUUUAUUAUAUGAUUUGUACUAGUCCUGACAUUUAUCAUUGUGCUGCAUAUAACAAAAUACGUGGCUUCUCGAACUUUCCUCUAUAUUGAUGACCAAAUUAAUUUUUCUCAUUUAUAAGGGUAGCAAUAUCAACUCACACUCAUAUUUCUACGGGUUGGGUCAUAAUCUGCCCAAAUGUGACUCAACCUACACGACUUGUCUACUUGUAGAGCCAGCAUUUAUCAAAGUGGAGCAAAGAAUUAUAUAUAUCACCUGAUCUUACACGGGAGAUCCCGAGUUGAGUGAUUCUCCUCCAAAACAGUCUACAUGACCUCUUACGAGAGGUCUCUUGAGCCGAGUGAUUAUCCCUCAAAAAACUGUUCAUGUGUGAUGUUCUGAAAACGAAAACAUGUUGAGUUAGUAAUUAGAACCAUUGUGAGGUGCAACGAGUAUGUGGACAGUAAGUGAGUAACAGAAGGAAUGAUACAAAAAUAUGGUAGCAGUGUCUUGUUGAGAUUGUGUAUAUAUUCGAAUAAUAUGAAGGAAUUGCAGUAAGAACAGAACUCAAUGUUUAGAUGCAGAUAUCAUUCGAUUUCCACAUAUGCAAAGAAUGAACUAUAACUGAUGCAGAAAGUUAAAUAAACAAACAAACAACAACAUGCCUAGUAGUCCGGAAAGAGUAGGAUGUACGCAAACCUUACUCCCACCUUUGUGGGAUAGGGAAGUUGUUUUUGAUAGACCCUCGACUCAAAAGAGAAGUUCGCGAAGCAGUGUUGCAAGAAAAUAUGAUAGCAAAAUAACAAGAUGCAAGACAAAUGAAGCAACAAAUAGUAAUACACAUUGAAGAAUAAGAAACUAUGCGACAACUAAAAGGAGGAGAGAUGAGGCUAGGCCUCUGUCUCUACCACAUAAACUACGACAACACUCGACUACCUACAUAAAAGGAAUCAUUUUUCAGAGGAAAAGAAUAGUUAAUUUAAACAUUUUGUAGAGGAAGUAACUAAUAAUCACAACUUACUUACCUCGCAUAUAACAGAUGCAAAAUUAAAGAGAGAAUAAUAUGUUUCUUUUGACAUU